AAGGAGUUGGUUGAGAACCAGGUGGAGGGGGAGGGUUGGGGCUCGAAGGUGGGGGUGAACUGCUGGGAGGCUCUGAUGCCGGUGGAGGAGGUGAACUUUUUGGAGGUGAUGCUGGUGGUGGAGGUGAACUUUUGGGUGGCUCAGAUUUUGGAGGUGGUGGUGAACUCUUUGGUGGGUCUGAUGGUGGUGGUGGUGGUGAUUUUUCAGGUGGCUGUGAUGUUGGUGGUGGCGGUGGUGAUGUUUCAGGGGGAUUUGCUAGUGGCGGUGGAGGAGAUUUCUCAGGUGGCUUUGCUGGUGGUGGAGGUGAACUUUUGGGUGGUGUUGUUGAUGGAGGUGGAGGUGAACUCUUAGGUGGACUUGAAGUUGGCGGUGGAGGUGAACUCACUGGCUGCGGUGGGGGAGGUGAACUUGCAGGUGGAUCAGAAGU
rnacentral:lncRNA from 1 species